UGGGGAAUAUUGCACAAUGGGCGGAAGCCUGAUGCAGCGACGCCGCGUGAGGGAUGACGGCCUUCGGGUUGUAAACCUCUUUAGUAGGGAAGAAGCGUAAGUGACGGUACCUGCAGAAAAAGCACCGGCUAACUACGUGCCAG
rnacentral:rRNA from 1 species